rnacentral:misc_RNA from 1 species
GAUGAAGAACGUAGCGAAAUGCGAUACGUAAUGUGAAUUGCAGAAUUCAGUGAAUCAUCGAAUCUUUGAACGCAUAUUGCGCUCUCUGGUAUUCCGGAGAGCAUGCUUGUUUGAGUAUCAGUAAACACCUCAACUUCCAUAUCUUUUUUGAAAUGGGAGUUGGACUUGAGUGAUCCCAACGCUUUUCCUCACCGAAAAGUGGCGGGUUACUUGAAAUGCAGGUGCAGCUGGACUUUUCUCUGAGCUAUAAGCAUAUCUAUUUAGUCUGCCUAAAAAACAGAUUAUUACCUUUGCUGCAGCUAACAUAAAGGAGAUUAGUUCUUGUGCUGACUGAUGCAAGAUUCACAAAGACAGGCUUCGGCCGACUUUGUAAACUCGAUCUCAAAUCAAGUAAGACUACCCGCUGAACUUAAGCAUAUCAAUAAGCGGAGGA